GAUGAACGCUGGUGGCGUGCCUAAUACAUGCAAGUCGAGCGAACAGACGAGGAGCUUGCUCCUCUGACGUUAGCGGCGGACGGGUGAGUAACACGUGGUUAACCUACCUAUAAGACUGGGAUAACUUCGGGAAACCGGAGCUAAUACCGGAUAAUAUAUUGAACCGCAUGGUUCAAUAGUGAAAGACGGUUUUGCUGUCACUUAUAGAUGGAUCCGCGCCGCAUUAGCUAGUUGGUAAGGUAACGGCUUACCAAGGCAACGAUGCGUAGCCGACCUGAGAGGGUGAUCGGCCACACUGGAACUGAGACACGGUCCAGACUCCUACGGGAGGCAGCAGUAGGGAAUCUUCCGCAAAGGGCGAAAGCCUGACGGAGCAACGCCGCGUGAAUGAUGAAGGUCUUCGGAUCGUAAAACGCUGUUAUUAGGGAAGAACAAAUGUGUAAGUAACUAUGCACGUCUUGACGGUACCUAAUCAGAAAGCCACGGCUAACUACGUG
rnacentral:rRNA from 1 species